AGGGCACCACCAGGAGUGGAGCCUGCGGCUUAAUUUGACUCAACACGGGAAAACUCACCCGGCCCGGACACUGGAAGGAUUGACAGAUUGAGAGCUCUUUCUUGAUUCAGUGGGUGGUGGUGCAUGGCCGUUCUUAGUUGGUGGAGCGAUUUGUCUGGUUAAUUCCGAUAACGAACGAGACUCUAGCCUACUAAAUAGAUCGUUGGCUUACAAACGCCAAUGAGACYUCUUAGAGGGACAGGCGGCGAUUCAGCCGCACGAAACAGAGCAAUAACAGGUCUGUGAUGCCCUUAGAUGUCCGGGGCCGCUCGCGCGCUACACUGAAGUGAUCAGCGUGCAUUCUCAGCCUACUCUGCCAAGAGUGGGAAACCCAAUGAACCUUCUUCGUGAUUGGGAUAGGAGAUUGUAAUUAUUCUCCUUGAACGAGGAAUUCCCAGUAAGCGCGAGUCAUAAGCUCGCGUUGAUUACGUCCCUGCCCUUUGUACACACCGCCCGUCGCUACUACCGAUUGAAUGUUUU
rnacentral:rRNA from 1 species